AACGAAAAUAAUUAUAUAAAAAUCAGGUACAAUUCAAUUGUAUUCAUAAACAAAUAUGAGUGAAAACAAUCUACUUGUAUUAAUUUUAACGAAAACUAAAAUAAUGGUAUAAAAUAUGAGGUACAAUUCAGAAACAACAAUAAUAAUAUGCAAAGCUAUGUACCAAUUAAUAAAUAAUAUUUACAAAAUAUCUUAAGUCACCCACAGCGAUAUACUUGUUAAAUGUAAAUUUAGUCUUUAAGAAUCUUAAUAAUUGAAAACUAUUUGAAUAUGUAAUAAAAACAUUCUUAAAUUUAUAAAUUUUGAAACAUAACACGGCAACACUGUAGCAGAUUUGAGUCAUAUGGAUGUUUUAGUAGUAGAAUAUGAGUUGGCAACCCGUACCAAGUGUGACUUUAGUAGAGAAUUUUUGUGGCAGCCCUUACCGAGAAGUCCAUUGGUGUAUGGAUUAGUGAAAAUCUAAGGACUGUGUACUUGUAGAUUUAUACCAUGGUCUCGGCUGUCAAUUUAAAUCAAUUUUACAUAUAGUAUGUGUGAUCAACUUGAAAAUAAGUUCUUGAUUGUGUAACUGCAGUGUGACUGCGAGGAAUAUAAUAUUUCUAUUUUCUCUAUUGGAAAGUAUCGAUUGCAAAAAUUUACAAUAAUCCACUUUGCGAAAACCUUGUGUAAAUUUGAAGUUUUUGACUGCAGUUUCUGUCCUUAUCAUAUUGUUAGAGGUGCUCAUCUAAUCAAAUGUCUACUGGAAUGUUAUUAAAGCGGUGCACAAAAAAAAUUUUAUUUGCUCCUCCUAUGCUGCGUUCCUUUUCCACCAUAACUCCAAUACAAAUGGCGUAUACACUUUAUGGGGAAAAUAAUUCUACACAUUUGCCUCUAAUAAUAAUGCAUGGGCUCUUUGGUUCCCAGCGUAACUGGAAAAGUGUUGCUCGAAUAUUGGAGAAGAAUGUGGAUAAAAUGAUAUUUACAGUAGAUGCGAGAAAUCACGGCGAUAGUCCUCACACAUCUGAGCAUAGUUCUGCCCAUAUGGCAGUAGAUAUUUCAGAAUUAAUGAAACGUAGAGGAAUUACGAAAACAUGUGCAAUGGGACAUAGCAUGGGAGGCAGGACGAUGAUGCAUUUAGCUCUGAAGCAUCCGGAAUUAGUGGACCGGGCAAUUAUUAUUGACAUAUCUCCUAUUGCAGUGCCGCGAGAUUUUUAUCAAAUGAAUGAUAUAUUUAAAGCUAUGGAAAAUGUUGAUAUUCCUGCGAAAUAUUCAUUGGGACAAGGUCGCAAAAUAGCUGAAAAUCAAAUUAAACACGCCGUGGGAGUCCAAGCUACUGUUGAGUUUAUAUUAAUGAAUUUGAGAAAACGAGAUACUGGAGAGUAUGUAUAACAGAAAAUUAUAAAAUUAUAAAGAUUCUAUUGGGUUCCUAAUAUUGGUAGUCUUCAUAAGAAUUUGAGAUUAUUCAACGACUUUAAGGAGCAUGUGAAGGAUUUACCACCUUUUGCGGGACCAGUGAUGUUCAUCUGUGGAAAUCAAUCCAAUUUUGUUGAUCCUAAUAGUUGGCCGGAUAUUCAACAAAUGUUUCCUAACUCAGAACUACAUUGGCUUGAUGCGGGGCAUUUAGUCCAUUUUGAUCAGCCGGAAAAAUUUGUUAAUUUAGUCGUGGAAUUUUUGAGACGAUAAUUUUAAAUAAACUAAGAUUAUUUCACAUGUAUAUAUUAUAAAAUUAGUUAUCAUAAUUUUGAGCUCAACAAUGUUUAUUAGCUCAAUUUCAGUGGUUAUAAGCUUGCUGAAAAUAUUUAGGGGACAGUCAUUAUUAAAGAAAUUUGAAAAUUAAUAUAAUUUUCACAAAGGGUGGUGAUAUGCUUAUGGAAUUCUGCGGUGGUUCCCAACAUACAACAAGCGACUCGUGCUCGAACUGUGAUAUUAACUUCGUUUUAUGUUGGCAACUUCUUAACAAGUUGUGAAAGCGUUACCGAGGCAGUGGAGCUGGCUAAGGACGUGGAUGCCAUCUUAUCUGCAAGACGGUUCACCCUACGGAAAUGGAACUCGAACGAUUGUCAGGUGAUGAUGCGUUUAUCUAACGAGCCGUAACUUUCUAGUUAUAUUUUCCAUUCUGGUGAAGCUUCCGUUUUGGGCUUAAGAUGGGACACACUGAAGGAUCAGUUACACUUUCGCGUUGAUCUGUGUCAAAGAGUAGAAAUUCCAACGAAGCGCCGCGUACUCAGCGAGGUGGCACGACUCUUCGAUCCUACUGGAUUAUUAUCGCCUGCUAUAAAUAAUAAUUUUGCGGUUAUAAAUAAUAACUGGGAAAUAUUCAUUCAGUGACUGUGGUCUGUGGGCCUAUCCUGGGACUCACCAUUGCCUGAGGAUUUUUACUGCGAUUGGCUAAACUGUUGGUCACAGCUUCCGAAGCUCUAAUCAAAUUCGCAUCGAACGGUGGAUGGGAAUGAUUCCACGCGUUCAGACAUCAGCUUACAUGUUUAUGCCGCAGUUAUUUAUGCGAAGACGUCGAACACAAACGGUUCGGUGCGUUUCACACUUCUGACGGCACGCACCAAGGUGGAACCACUCAAAACUGCUACCAUUCCACGCCUAGAACUUGCGGCAGGGCUCCUUGCCGAUACAUUUCAGAACGUGAGAGAUUCUUUGGGAUUAUUUGACGUUCCCUACUAUCUGUGGUCGGACUCAGCGAUCGUAUUGUGUUGGCUGAGGAAGGAUCCAGCAACACUUAAACCAUUCAUAUCAAAGCGGGUUCGUAGAAUACAGGAGCUGACAUCCCCCGCCCGAUGGCAUCACAUUCGUUGAGCUCAGAACCCGGCUGAUUGUGCCAGUAGAGGCAUCACACCCGCCGAGCUAUUAGUACAUCCACUUUCGUGGCAUGGACCUAAAGAAGCAGAGAUGAUGUAUUCGGACACUAGUGAUGUUCCUCUCAGCAAGGAUGAGUCAAAUGUCUUACUCGCCGAAAACCGAAAUACAACCAAAUUUAUUGUACUCGUUUCACAUCCGUUAUAUAGUUGUCGUACAAAACACUAUUUUGUUAACUGAACGGUUCAGUAGUUUCACUCGAUUGUUGGGUACAUUGGCCAUAACCCUGCACUGGUAAAGAAGGCGUCGACACUUUCGUCAACAGAUGAUCGUUGCUUAGGAAUUGGAGGACGCAUUAUACACUAUAAUCCGUUUAGAGCAAGAGGAGCAUUUUCCAGAUGAAAUUCGACAAUUGAAGUCUAGUUCAAGUUUGCCAUCUUCCAGUCGGAUAAUAUCUUUAAAUCCAUUUAUAGACAAGAACCAAAUACUCCGUGUCGGGGUCGCAUCCACCAGAGCGAACUAGGGCAUGAUCAACGAUUCCCGAUUAUUCUGUCUAAAUCAACGCCGUUGUUCAAGCUUUUACUAACUCUGGCACAUGAGGUAUGAGGAAGAGUUUCAUCUAUAACUGCGCUGUAUGCCGCCGUCAUAGAGGGGACGUCCUGAUGCAACAAAUGGCUUCCUUACCCGGGCAGAGGAUCAGAGCAGCAAGGCCGUUCAUAUCAUCUGGUGUUGAUUAUUGUGGGCCUUUCACACUACGUAUCGGAACAAAACGCUCUUGAACGCUCAUCAAGACGUAUCACGCAAUAUUCAUAUGCAUGGUCACAAAGGCCAAACAAAUUGAGAUGAUUGAUGACCUAUCGGCACAGGCCUUUUUAGAUGCUUUUACUCGUUUCGUCAGCCGACGCGGUCCCUGACCGACUGUUGAGGAAGAUCUAGCAUUAUGGCAGGGUGAGAAUAAUCAGCGAUCGUUAGCAGAUUCGGGCACACACUGUCAUUUCAUUACACCCAGUGCACCACAUCAAGGAGGGUGCUGUGAAGUCCGCUAAGCAUCAUUUGACACGCUGUGUGGGUGCGCAGGUCAUGUGGUAUAGUCAGCUGCAGACACUGGCCGUAAGAAUAGAGGCCUGUCUUAAUUCCCGUCCUUUGACACCACUCUACAACGAUCCUGAUGAGAAACUUGCAUUAACGCCAGAUGAUUACCUGAUUGGGUCGUCACGCCUAGCGGUCCCUGAAACAGAUAUCAAAUAUAUUCCGAGCAACCGACUAAAACAAUGGCAUUCGAUACGUUAAAUUCAACAAGGGCUCUGGGAGCGAUAGAGUGAGGAGUAUCUAACCAUUCUGCAGAGACGGAACAAAUAGUUUCAACGCACGAGGAAUAUAAGGGUGAACGAUAUCGUUUUAGUCAAACAAGAGAACCUACCUUCCACUCACUGGUGCCUGGGUCGCGUGACAACACUACAACCCGGAGCUGAUGGAGUGGUGCGCAAUGUCACGUUGAGAACCGCCAGAGGAUACAUGAAACGAGCCAGAAACCAUGUCUAUUGAUAGAGAAGGAGGAUUUCGAGUCAACCGACUCGUCCGGGCGGGAUGUUUAGAAUUAUUUACAGUUUUAAAGGCAAAACGUAAUAAUUUUUAACGCUAUCUUUUAAGUUCCAUGACACCGAAAACCUAUAAGAAUUGUGAUUUGAACAUCACUACAAUAUUAUCAGAAUUCCUGAUGUCACAGACAUUAAGCUCUAUUCUGAGAAAACCUCAAAACUUAUUUGUGAGGUUAAAAAUAAGUUCCUCAAAUCUAUUUCAAUCAAAUAAAUAUCAAAUUUGUUUAAAAUAUAUUGAAAUAAACAAAACAUA